rnacentral:rRNA from 1 species
AUUGAACGCUGGCGGCAUGCCUUACACAUGCAAGUCGAACGGCAGCACGGGUGCCUGCACCUGGUGGCGAGUGGCGAACGGGUGAGUAAUAUAUCGGAACGUACCUUAUUGUGGGGGAUAACGCAGCGAAAGCUGUGCUGAUACCGCAUAAUCCCUAAGGGGGAAAGCGGGGGACCGUAAGGCCUCGCGCAAUUAGAGCGGCCGAUACCUGAUUAGCUAGUUGGUGAGGUAAAGGCUCACCAAGGCAACGAUCAGUAGCUGGUCUGAGAGGACGAUCAGCCACACUGGGACUGAGACACGGCCCAGACUCCUACGGGAGGCAGCAGUGGGGAAUUUUGGACAAUGGGGGCAACCCUGAUCCAGCAAUGCCGCGUGAGUGAAGAAGGCCUUCGGGUUGUAAAGCUCUUUUGUCAGGGAAGAAACAGCAGCUCUAACACAGUUUGCGAAUGACGGUACCUGAAGAAUAAGCACCGGCUAACUACGUGCCAGCAGCCGCAGUAA